rnacentral:lncRNA from 1 species
UAGUCCUGAACUCCUGAUUUCAGUGAUUUGAGCUCAACUGCUCCAGAAAUGAGUUCCAUAUAAAUAUAACAGAGCCCCCUACUAAAGGAAAGAUACUAUUAAAGACCACACUGGGUGAUAUUGAUAUUGAACUGUGGUCCAAAGAGGCUCCUCUGGCCUGUCGUAACUUCAUACAAUUGUGUUUAGAAGAUUAUUAUAAUGAUACCAUAUUCCACAGAGUCGUUUUUGGUAAUGGAUUAA